UAUCCUUUCUUAGAAUCCAAG
rnacentral:piRNA from 1 species